rnacentral:rRNA from 1 species
AUGCAGAGGGCGUGGAACCCGUGGUUGCAGCGCGGCAGCACGCGCACCUGCUCCCCGCGCACGAACUCGGCGAGGCAGAUGGCGCACUCCGACCGCGACGACCCGGCCAGCUCGAGCCCCGCCGAGUAA